AACGAACGCUGGCGGCAGGCCUAACACAUGCAAGUCGAACGCCGUAGCAAUACGGAGUGGCAGACGGGUGAGUAACACGUGGGAACGUACCCUUCGGUUCGGGAUAACUCAGGGAAACUUGAGCUAAUACCGGAUACGUCCGAGAGGAGAAAGAUUUAUCGCCGAGGGAUCGGCCCGCGUCUGAUUAGCUUGUUGGUGAGGUAACGGCUCACCAAGGCGACGAUCAGUAGCUGGCUGAGAGGAUGAUCAGCCACAUUGGGACUGAGACACGGCCCAAACUCCUACGGGAGGCAGCAGUGGGGAAUAUUGGACAAUGGGCGCAAGCCUGAUCCGGCCAUGCCGCGUGAGUGAUGAAGGCCCUAGGGUUGUAAAGCUCUUUUGUGCGGGAAGAUAAUGACGGUACCGCAAGAAUAAGCCCCGGCUAACUUCGUGCCAGCCGCCGCAAGU
rnacentral:rRNA from 1 species